AGUCUUUAGAAGAGUUUCUGAGAGUCUAAGAGUUUCUCCCAGUGUUUUAUCAGCCUGGCGUGUCACCAUGCUUUAUUUGUCCCCCAACGAGGCUUUUCCCCCCACCAGGCUAUGGGUUGUUAUUUUAAAUAGGGAUUUUUCUCCUCUAGUGACAGUAAAGACAGACUAAAGUCAAGGUUUAUAGUUGAGACAUUUAAUUGACUGAGGAGUUGUGAACCAAUUGUGCCGUCCUAUCAGUUGCCCGGCUGGCUUGGCUUCACAUGCUGUUAUUUCUUAGUUUUGAUACCUGAUCCUGCACCUCCAACUUUCUGUAACUUGACAUGUUUAACCCAAACAUGCAGCAGACCGCUGAUGGACGACCCCAGCAGCUCUUCCACCAGGCUCAGCAGGUUUUCUGAAGGAAACCCUGGAAGCUUUCCCAGGGAGAGUUUCAUCAGGUGUCCCACAGCAGCUUGAUGGAAUCAGACUCCGGUACCAUCAGUAAUGAGCUGAACGUGUCGGCAGUGUGUUGCUACGACUUGCUCAUCUGAGGCGCCAUUGGUGGGGGAGAUUUGAGAUCAAAUAGCCUGAAAACGGCCUCACCUGUUGAAUUUGAGUCGCUAUGUCACACUGAGCCGAUGAACGCUGGAAGAGAGGAGACACAGUGAGCUUCUCCUGCUGGGCAGAUCUGAGACAAGAAGAUGAGGAUUUAACUAUACUGUCCUGAUGAGAAGCUGCUUUUAGACCUAGAUGAACUCCAUCCAUCCAUGUCUGGUUCCCUUCAUUCUUCCGUCCUGGUUCCAUCCAUCCAUCCAUCCAGAUUCUUUACAGGGGUGUUCUCACAAUCUGUUAAAAUAAAACUGAAUAAAACCAGAAAAUCCUGGGGGUUUGUCUUUGAAUGUGGAGAUUCGACAUGAAGAUUCCUUUGAGAUGACAGAAAAAGACACAAUAUUAAACAUCGGGGACAAUGUUAUCUCCGAUGUUUAAAGUUGUCCAGGAUGUUUAACGUUGUCCCCAAUUUUUCAUUUUAUCUUCAGUGCUUAACAUUGUCCUUGAUGUUUAAGGUUAUAUAAGGUUAAAUUGUCAUUAUUGUUAUGUUUACGGUUUAUGUUUUACUUUAUCUCAAUGUUAAACGCAAAACAUGAGACUUUUCUGGAGAUGAAAUUUGACAUCUGAUAAACAUUGGAAUAAUGUUAAACAUCAAGCAUAACGUUAAGCACGUUAUUCUUUAAAUAAAAAUUCGCGGACAAUGUUAAACAUCCUGGAUAUUAAAUGCUUAACAUCUGAGCUAAAGUUAAACAUACCGGAUGGCAUUAAACAGCCACGAUAAUGCUGAAUGUUAAACAUCAGACCCCACCUCAAACCAUAAAGAAAAGUGAAAAGAAUAAAGCUGCUUUUGAAAGGAAGACACGAGGUCCUGUUGGCUGUUUGUUAAAAGCCAUGUAAAACACAGCAUUCAUGUGGAACAAGGUGUUCUGAUCAAAUAAAACCAACAUUGAAAAAUUUGA